GACGAACGCUGGCGGCGUGCUUAACACAUGCAAGUCGAGCGGAAAGGCCCUGAGUUUGUGGGGUGCUCGAGUGGCGAGGAGGGGAGUAACACGUGAGUAAAAUGCCCUUGAAUUUGGGGUAAAAUCAGGGAAAUGGGGCUCAUACCGGGUAGGAGAUCCUGAUGCGUGGUGGGGGAUGGAAAGUUUCGGCGGUGGUGGAUGGAAUAGCGGCUUAUCAGCUGGUUGGGGUGGUAGUGGCGUACCAAGGCUUUGACGGGUAGCCGGCAUGGGAGGGUGACCGGCCACAUUGGGACUGAGAGACGGACCAGACGCCUACCGGAGGCAGCAGUGGGGAAUAUUGCACAAUGGGCGGAAGUGUGAUGUAGCAACCCCCGGUGCGGGAUGCUCUCUUUCGGGGUGUAAACAGCUGUCUACGUUGAUGAAGCGUGAUUGACGGUAACUGGUAAAGAAGCACCGGCUAACUACGUG
rnacentral:rRNA from 1 species